rnacentral:lncRNA from 1 species
UUGGUGUCUAAAAAUUGUCUUUGCAAAAGUUGGACGAAGUUCAUGUAAUGAGAUGUUUUUCCCCAUUUCACCAUUCUUUUAAAUAAAUCGUUAAAAGCUAUAAACGAUUAAUAAAAAUUGCAAAAUUUAACCUGUGUCGAACCUAUGUCCCCGGGUGGAGUCUAUAGCAACAUGCGCUAUUCUUUUUUUUCGGCAGCAAUCAUCAAC